rnacentral:rRNA from 1 species
GACGAACGCUGGCGGCGUGCCUAAUACAUGCAAGUAGAACGCACAGUUUAUACCGUAGCUUGCUACACCAUAGACUGUGAGUUGCGAACGGGUGAGUAACGCGUAGGUAACCUGCCUGGUAGCGGGGGAUAACUAUUGGAAACGAUAGCUAAUACCGCAUAAUACUAAUUAUUGCAUGAUAAUUAAUUGAAAGGUGCAAUUGCACCACUACCAGAUGGACCUGCGUUGUAUUAGCUAGUAGGUGAGGUAACGGCUCACCUAGGCGACGAUACAUAGCCGACCCGAGAGGGUGAUCGGCCACACUGGGACUGAGACACGGCCCAGACUCCUACGGGAGGCAGCAGUAGGGAAUCUUCGGCAAUGGACGAAAGUCUGACCGAGCAACGCCGCGUGAGUGAAGAAGGUUUUCGGAUCGUAAAGCUCUGUUGUAAGAGAAGAACGGGUGUGAGAGUGGAAAGUUCACACUGUGACGGUAUCUUACCAGAAAGGGACGGCUAACUACGUG